GGGGUGUGCUCAGAGCAGGGAGCUUAAAGAAUGGCUUCUCUGUUUACAACACACCCGACAGGAAUCUAGGGUCAUUGUGACAAAGGGUAGCACAAGACUUGUGGCCUCCUGUGAACAAAUGUCCUACAUGU
ensembl:snoRNA